GGAAGGCACCCACCUGGCGAGCGGAGGGGGGCGCUGGAGGCUCCGGGAGGGGGCCGGGCCGCUCCCACCCCCCGGGCGGCGUGUGGCAGGAGCAAGGCAGGAAUGCGAGGAAUGAGGCUGAGUCAACACAGCUCAGAAAGGGAGCUGAAUUUUAUUCCUUCCUGUGAAUCAUCAACAGAAUUGUUCACCAAAUUCCAGUCACUUACAGUUGCAGAAACCCACUGAAAUGAAUGGGCUUUCACCUGUGUCACUAAGGGUAGAAUUUGGCCUGUAAACCUUUAGUAGUGGAGACGAUGUGCAAGGAAAGAACUCGACAGAGCACGCACAUGGAGUUUGAUUGGGGUGGUCAGAAGUAGUGGAAUCUUUUUUCCUGUUAACAGAACAGGUUUGAUAUACAGCUAUUGACAGACAAAUAUGGAAUCCAUCAUGCCAUUUUUAGGAAUUGCUUUUCAGAGAAAAACUGCACUCUAAGGGUAGUUCUAGGUUCUCUUUUAUAAAUGGGGCUCUGAAUUCAAGUUAAGAAAAUCAUUCUUUGUUCACCUUUGUAUUUUAAGCUCCCUGUUUUAUUGUAGCAUAGUUCAGUGGUUCUCUUUUUAAACCAUCACUUUCCUUUUAUCAAAGCAAAUGAGAUCAGAUCCCACCUUCAAAUGUAGUGGAAACAACAUUCAUUCAUAUAUAUCAACUGCCAAUUAUAUGUUAAAACACCUAUGUACAAUCGGAAUAGUUUUUACCUUGACACAUUUUAGUGAAAAGAAUCACAGAGUUUAUCUAGGUGUGGAAAGAUUUAUCCAAACUGAAACAGGAAAAUGACUUCUGAGUCCCAGCAGGGGAAUAAGAACUCCCUGGAGAACAGGACAAGAGAACAGAACGGGGAGACAGGGACCGUAGAGUGAACAUGGUGGAAGACACAAGAACUCCUGAGAAGCCUCUGACCUUUAGCCUGUUCUCACCUUUAUGAACUGCACCAUGUGACACUUGGACAACAGGAGGGGCUUGGAGCAAGAGACCAGGGCUGGUGCUCCAAUUUGAUGCAAGUUGAGGCUGGUGGAUCAAGGAGGAUUGCAUGCUGGGACUUGUGGUCUCCACUGACUGCAACCCAGAAUUAAAAAUGAGGGCUGCUGCAGGACACAUUAUGGAGCUCGAUGAGCA